CCUACGGGGGGCAGCAGUGAGGAAUAUUGGUCAAUGGACGCGAGCCUGAACCAGCCAAGUAGCGUGAAGGAUGACUGCCCUAUGGGUUGUAAACUUCUUUUAUAUGGGAAUAAAGUGUUCCACGUGUGCCUUUUUGUAUGUACCUUAUGAAUAAGGAUCGGCUAACUCCGUGCCAGCAGCCGCGGUAAUACGGAGGAUCCGAGCGUUAUCCGGAUUUAUUGGGUUUAAAGGGAGCGUAGGUGGGUUGUUAAGUCAGUUGUGAAAGUUUGCGGCUCAACCGUAAAAUUGCAGUUGAUACUGGCAGUCUUGAGUACAGUAGAGGUGGGCGGAAUUCGUGGUGUAGCGGUGAAAUGCUUAGAUAUCACGAAGAACUCCGAUUGCGAAGGCAGCUCACUGGACUGCAACUGACACUGAGGCUCGAAAGUGUGGGUAGCAAACAGGAUUAGAUACCCUUGUAGUC
rnacentral:rRNA from 1 species